rnacentral:rRNA from 1 species
ACUACGGGAGGCAGCAGUGGGGAAUAUUGCACAAUGGGGGAAACCCUGAUGCAGCGACGCCGCGUGAGUGAAGAAGUAUUUCGGUAUGUAAAGCUCUAUCAGCAGGGAAGAAAAUGACGGUGGCUGAUUAAGAAGCACCGGCUAACCACGUGCCAGCAGCCGCGGUAAUAAGUGGGGGGCAAGGGUUAGCCGGAUUUAUUGGGUUUAAAGGGUGCGUAGGCGGAAUAUCAAGUCAGCGGUAAAAACUCGGGGCUCAACCCCGUCGUGCCGUUGAAACUGAUGUUCUUGAGUGGGCGAGAAGUAUGCGGAAUGCGUGGUGUAGCGGUGAAAUGCAUAGAUAUCACGCAGAACUCCGAUGGCGAAGGCAGCAUACCGGCGCCCAACUGACGCUGAAGCAUGAAAGCGUGGGUAUCGAACAGGAUUAGAUACCCCAGUAGUC